GAUGAACGCUGGCGGCGUGCCUAAUACAUGCAAGUCGAGCGAACGGACGAGAAGCUUGCUUCUCUGAUGUUAGCGGCGGACGGGUGAGUAACACGUGGAUAACCUACCUAUAAGACUGGGAUAACUUCGGGAAACCGUAGCUAAUACCGGAUAAUAUUUUGAACCGCAUGGUUCAAAAGUGAAAGACGGUCUUGCUGUCACUUCUAGAUGGAUCCGCGCUGCAUUAGCUAGUUGGUAAGGUCACGGCUUACCAAGGCAACGAUGCAUAGCCGACCUGAGAGGGUGAUCGGCCACACGGGAGCUGAAACGCGGUCCAGACGCCUGCGGGAGGCAGCAGUAGGGAAUCUGCCGCAAUGGGCGAAAGCCUGACGGAGCAACGCCGCGUGAGAGAUGAAGGUCUUCGGAUCGGAAAACUCUGUUAUUAGGGAAGAACAUAUGUGUAAGUAACUGUGCACAUCUUGACGGUAACUAAUCAGAAAGCCACGGCUAACUACGUG
rnacentral:rRNA from 1 species